rnacentral:rRNA from 1 species
GAUGAACGCUGGCGGCGUGCCUAAUACAUGCAAGUCGAGCGAACAGACGAGGAGCUUGCUCCUCUGACGUUAGCGGCGGACGGGUGAGUAACACGUGGAUAACCUACCUAUAAGACUGGGAUAACUUCGGGAAACCGGAGCUAAUACCGGAUAAUAUAUUGAACCGCAUGGUUCAAUAGUGAAAGACGGUUUUGCUGUCACUUAUAGAUGGAUCCGCGCCGCAUUAGCUAGUUGGUAAGGUAACGGCUUACCAAGGCAACGAUGCGUAGCCGACCUGAGAGGGUGAUCGGCCACACUGGAACUGAGACACGGUCCAGACUCCUACGGGAAGCAGCAGUAGGGAAUCUUCCGCAAUGGGCGAAAGCUUGACGGAGCAACGCCGCGUGAGUGAUGAAGGUCUUCGGAUCGUAAAACUCUGUUAUUAGGGAAGAACAAAUGUGUAAGUAACUAUGCACGUCUUGACGGUACCUAAUCAGAAAGCCACGGCUAACUACGUG